GACGAACGCUGGCGGCAUGCUUAACACAUGCAAGUCGAACGAGAAUCUGUGGAUCGAGGAUUCGUCCAAGUGAAGCAGAGGACAGUGGCGGACGGGUGAGUAACGCGUGAGGAACCUGCCUUUCAGAGGGGGGACAACAGUUGGAAACGACUGCUAAUACCGCAUAACGCGUAGAGGUCGCAUGGCCUUUACGCCAAAGAUUUAUCGCUGAAAGAUGGCCUCGCGUCUGAUUAGCUAGUUGGUGAGGUAACGGCCCACCAAGGCGACGAUCAGUAGCCGGACUGAGAGGUUGACCGGCCACAUUGGGACUGAGAUACGGCCCAGACUCCUACGGGAGGCAGCAGUGGGGAAUAUUGGGCAAUGGGCGCAAGCCUGACCCAGCAACGCCGCGUGAAGGAAGAAGGCUUCGGGUUGUAAACUUCUUUGUCGUAGGAAGAGUAGAAG
rnacentral:rRNA from 1 species